UGUCUAACUUACUCCCCUCAGACUAGUAACUCAAAAAAACAGUAUAGGGACAAGUCUACCAGAAGGAACUAGGUAUAUACACAGUAAAAUAAAACUGUAUUGCAUAUCUCCACUUGUUGGCAGUUCAACGGUGCUAGAUAGAGAGAAAAUUUCUCGACUCACAAGGAAACUUUACAGCUGGUCUGUUGAAUAUUUUAAUCAAACUUUUUGUGGUUAAUUUACAGUAGAAGAUAUAUUUACUUAUUUAUUACAACCUCAACAGAUGAAAUAAUAGUUGUCAUGGUAUAGCGACGGCUUCAUAGUUGAAGGGAUCCUUUGGGAAGGUUUGAAAAUAUAAACAAAAUAGAAAGAAAUAAAAAAGAUUGUUCAGUAUAUCACAAAUAAUGAAAUAAAAAAGAUUAUUCAAUAUACAAUUAAUUUUUUUAAAUUUACUUAAUCAUGUUUUUAUAAUAUACAUAAAGUUUUAAAAAUGGUAUUGUACUUAAAGAGUAUUUAAUACUGUGAUAUUAAAUAUUUACAUCUCCUGACCCGUUUGGUUACAAUUUUACAUUAAACUUAAGGCUGAAGUUUUCAACGCAAGAGCUUGUAGCUCUACAAUAUCUUUUUCCAACCUAGAAACAGGACAACAUGUCAUUGACCAUAAUACAAUUUAAUUAUAAAGAGUUAACAUUUAACAUUAUACCUUUUAUGAUGAUCUUUAAUAGCAUUAUAAAUAUUCAAGAAAUCUUUAAGACCAACAUUAACAUUCUGAUAACACUCAUUUCGGGAUCCAAUUAAAUCUAUAAUAGACUUUAAAGUAUCACGACAAGAUUUUACAGCUUGAAUUGUUUCUUCCCAUUCUUUGGGUGUCUUGGGAAGAAUUACAUUAUCACAACAUAGCACGUCAUAACUUUGUAGAAGGAUGUGUAAUUGAGAUAAAAUAUUUUCUACCUUCUUAAUAUCCUCAGAUUCUGUAAUUAAAAUAAAAUUUAAUUCAAUAUGUAGUUUCCUAAAACAGUUUUAAAAUGUUUCUGUAAUAUAAAUGUUUAUCAAUAAUAUUUACUAUUAUAUUUCUUUAUAUCUACAAGUUGAGAAUCUAUUUUGUUUUGUAACAUAGUUAAAUGGAUUAUGUCUCUCUCUCUAGUUUUUAAUUCAAAUAAUUUCUUCUUGUUUUCAUCAACCUCUUUAGCCAUUGUUGCUAAUUUUGUUAUAAUUAAUUUCUCUUUUUCCUGUAUCUUUUGCUUCAGUAUAAUCUCUGUCAUCAAGUUUUGUAAAUAUUUGUUAUACAAAAGACUUAUUUCUGUGUCCUCAUUUUCAAUAUGUGUAUCCAGCUGAGAAGGUGCCAUUGAUAUUCGCUCUGUUGCACAAGUUUUUGUGAGAUCUAGAUUAACAAAUUAGUAAAUAUUUUUAAUAUUCUAUAGAUUCAUUCAUCAUAAAAUUCAGACAUAAUUAUUUACUAUCUGGUGAGAUAAAAUCAAAUGUUGUUCUGCGGCGAGAAGAGGUUGAACCACUUUCAUGUCCAUGUUCGGAAAUAGUGCUAUUCAAGAACCUAAAAAUAUAUUUAUAAAUAAUAAUUAUAAAAUAAAUGAAAAGAACUGACACAUUUGUUAUAUAUACUUUUUAGUUUUGCGUGCUUGAUGUGAUUCCAUUUUACUUUCCGUAUUAGUGCUACUAAUAUUUCACGUUUACAAUUUCUGCACAAAAUUCGUUAUAAUUUUGAAUAAUCCUAGAAACUACAGAAAAAUUACAAAGUUAUUAGUUAAACCACAGAAUACCUUAUAGAGGUCAGACUCUACCACAUCUUUGAGAACCAAUUACCAGUGCGUAUUUGUGCGAAAUUUGAAUUCCAUGAACAUAGUUACAGAACUUCAAAAAGUUAGUAGGUAGUUUACCUACGUAAUGAGUAUUUAUUUCGCGUUGCUUAUGAGAAGAUUUCUGAAAGGAAUGCGAGUCUGAUCGAUUGUUUUAUCAAUUAUUAUACUCUGUAGUUAGCAUUGUAAAGCAUUAUAAGAAUAUGCCAAUUGCAGUAGAUACAGUUUGAAAAUAUAAACAAAAUAGAAAGAAAUAAAAAAGAUUGUUGAGUAUACCACAAAUAAUGAAAUAAUAAAUGCAAAAAUGACAUCUAAUUUUUGAAAAUGUGGAUGAAGUAUAGACGUAAGAAAGGAAGCAAUUCAAAAGCUUUGAAAAAAGCCAACAUUAAUGUUAUUAGAGGAAUGAAAAAGGAUUUUGCAGUGGAAGAAAUAUAGUAUAUUACAUUGAAUAGAAAGCAUUACAAAUCAAUAUACGUACAAAGAUAUUUCGAAAUGUUAUUUAUUCAAAAUUACAAGAAAGUAUCAAUAACUGAGUGGAUUCAUUUAAUAUCUGUCAAUAAAAAGGGAAUAAAUAUAAAUCCAUGCUGAGUAUUCAAUGAAAAUGUUUUAAUGAUAUGCACAGGUGCAAGUAAUUGCUAGAAAUAAUAGUAUACAUAUCACAAUACAUAAUAUAAUUGCGAUAAAUAAAAUAUUUGUGCGUUAAAAAAUGUUGCUAAAAUAAAAUGAUCAAAUAACAAUUGCAAUGAAAGUUUUCUUUUUCAAAGCUAUUAAACCUAAUAUAAAAUUUUUAGGAAUACAUGAUAAAUUGUCUAUAAUAUAAAUAAAUUCAUUAUGUCUUCAUUAUGUCUCUAUUAUAAAUAGAUUUCGCUAUGAUAAGAAUUGUAAUUUACAUUCACAACUUUUUAAACAACCAGUCAAUAUUCUGUUUUACAGUCACUAAGCAACAAUAAUUUAAAAUUUUUUCUUUUAUACCUAGUCAUAAAGCUAAAUAUAUAUUACAGUAAAAGGUAACAAUUCAUUGUCAAAAUUGUGAUUGACAAGAUGAAAAAAAAGGUAUCAUCAACCAGCAUUUUUAAAUAGCGACAUUUAACUUAAAUAAUUAAGAUUUGGAUAUACGAAUAAAAUAAAUGAAAGCAUCAGGUAAUGUUUUACACGCAUUUUUGCAGCAUUAAUAUGUCAUGUACUCAUGUGUGUAAAAUGUCAUAAUAUUUUCAUUAUAACCAUUACCGUCGACUGUUAUGUAUUAUCGAUAGAAUUUUAAAAUAACUUAAAAAAUUAUUUGUCUAAGACCGUUUUCCUUGGUCGUCGAAGAAAGUAAUUAAAGCUUUAACAUCAGGCGUUUUUGAGAGGCUUGCCUCUCCGAGGUACAAAAUUAAUAGUUAUAUAUUUAAGCAGCUCGUAGG